AACUGUCAACAACGGAUCUCUUGGCUCUCGCAUCGAUGAAGAACGCAGCGAAAUGCGAUAAGUAAUGUGAAUUGCAGAAUUCAGUGAAUCAUCGAAUCUUUGAACGCACCUUGCGCUCCUUGGUAUUCCGAGGAGCAUGCCUGUUUGAGUGUCA
rnacentral:rRNA from 1 species